AUUGAACGCUGGCGGCAGGCCUAACACAUGCAAGUCGAGCGGUAACACAGGGAGCUUGCUCCCGGGUGACGAGCGGCGGACGGGUGAGUAAUGUCUGGGAAACUGCCUGAUGGAGGGGGAUAACUACUGGAAACGGUAGCUAAUACCGCAUAACGUCGCAAGACCAAAGAGGGGGACCUUCGGGCCUCUUGCCAUCAGAUGUGCCCAGAUGGGAUUAGCUAGUAGGUGGGGUAAUGGCUCACCUAGGCGACGAUCCCUAGCUGGUCUGAGAGGAUGACCAGCCACACUGGAACUGAGACACGGUCCAGACUCCUACGGGAGGCAGCAGUGGGGAAUAUUGCACAAUGGGCGCAAGCCUGAUGCAGCCAUGCCGCGUGUAUGAAGAAGGCCUUCGGGUUGUAAAGUACUUUCAGCGGGGAGGAAGGUGUUGAGGUUAAUACCCAGCAACUGUGACGUUACUCGCAGAAGAAGCACCGGCUAACUCCGUGCCAGCCGCCGCAGUAAGAC
rnacentral:rRNA from 1 species